GUGAAAUUGGAAAAAAUAGUAUUGAUAAGGCAAAGAUAUGAAUUUUUUGUACUGAGCAUAGCAUGCUCACUACUUCAUUUUGUACACCGCAGAUACAUGCACUGGGCCAAAAUCAUGCCUGGUAUAACUUCACACAGCAACAGAGGAGAGAAACAUUUUUUUUAAAAUUAGGGAAAUGUAGUUGUACAACCAUAAGAAUUGGCAGGAGGCCUCGCAGGCGCUGAAGAACCUGAAAUGACUAAUGACAAUAUAUAUAAUAAAUUGACUAGAUUUCAAAUUGAGGUUGUCUCUUUAGUAAUACCUGUCUUUAAUUUAUGGAUCUCAAAUAACCUUAUACUAACAAAUUAAAUCUCCAAUCUAAAUUAAUUAGUCCCUUCAUUAGAAGAAAGAGAAGGCCAUGAACCUAUGGAUUCUAAAACGAUAUGGGGUUUUAUGUCAUUUGUCCAGUAAAACAGCAGAAACCAAAAGUAAUAAUCUGUAGCAGAACUAUGUACUGGAAAAUCUCAUUGCUAGCUCCUGCAGUACCUGCCACAUAAACUCCUAGCCCUUACAGUAAGUCAUCGGUUCAGAAAUGGGCAGCUCCAGAGUAAAUUGCAUAUAUGCAAAUAUGGAGAUGAGAAACAAUUUUCAAACCAAUUAGAAAUCAUCACUGACUAUAAGCCAGACAGACGCGUAAGCAGAUAACCAGGUGUCAGGUUGCUGCACAAGGAUCUUCAGUGGAGAGGUCAAUCUUCUGAAGGUAACUAUGAACGAUGGUGCAGAGAGCUCUGUGUGUGUAUGUAGCUCACUAAAACUGAAGGGGGGAUAAUCUUUUGACUAAAAUAAGGAAUUGUGAAUUAAAAAGAUUUAAGGUGUCAUCUUGGUUGGUUAAUGUGAAAUUGGCACACAGAGCUCCCAUAUCCUGUCUGCUGGCAUGUGGCUUUGGCACACAGCCCAUUACAAUGUUUUAGACAUCUUCAGCUGAGAAGUUUAAUCUCUCCCUCAUUCUCAGCAGAGGGAAGUUAUUACUGCAUAUGUGGGACUAUGAGCUGAGUCUGUGGUUUUCAGUUGUCAGUGUUUGAUUUCUACUUAGUGUUUCUAAAGUUCUGUCCAGAAAUAUCUGGCUGUUGAUGGUUGCUGGCACACAAAAAUCAACUGAUGACAGAUGGGUGGGUAUUUAGUGGGUUCUUUGAGUUCCCUGCUCAGCUCUGGUUUCAUUUUGGAUGGUGUGGUCAGAUCAGUUGAUCAGUUUUUUAAUUCAUCAGUCUGAGGAUUCUCAGGUACAGCUUGCUUUGCGGACCAUGGCUUCUUAGGCUCCAGAUCAGGAUAAUGUAAUCUCUGGCCCUUCAGCAGUUGGCAAACAAAAUCUCUCUCUCUCUCUCACCCACACAUGCACGCACGCACGCACACACACAAACAUAUAAAGCCUCUUUGACUCAGGACAUUUUCCUCUCUGAUGAGAUAUAUGACAAUCCCUUUUUCUGAAGUGUUAAAACUAGGCUGUCCAGGCUUUCUUAAUUAUAAAACUUUAGAGAAGACUUGGAAGUCACCUUUCUGAAGAAGAUUGAUAAUAAGAGUUGAAAUACCAAGGAGGGGAGGAACUGUGUAAGUGAUCAACGAGGGUAUAAACGGAAGAAAAUAGGAAAAAACUUUGCAAAGGAAACUAGGUUCCCUGUUCAGAAACAUUUAAGAAGGGGAAAUGGCCAUAUGGUUAAAUCACAGACUUUGGCAUCAGAAGACUUGGGCUGUGUUCUUGGCUUUGCCAUAGGCUUCCUAGCUGAACGUGGCAAGUCACUUCACCUCUGUUGUAUGUCUUGGUUUUCCCAUCUGAAAAAUGCAAAUAAUAAUGCUCACCUGGGUGUUAAGAUUAAUUCAUGAAUGUUUGUAAAUCUGCAGAACUUUGGAUGGAAGAUGCUUUAGAAAUUCAAAGUAUUGAGUCAAAUCUGUUGAGACUGUGGAAUUGUCUCCAAGGAGGAAAGAGAUUCUCUAAAAAUAACUUUGUAUAUUAGAAAUCAAAAUAAAUAGUUAUUAAAAUUAAAUAGGCUGGUCAAAGCUGGUGUUACAACAUUCUCAGAACGUCUCUCUCUUUUGCUUUUCACCCGUCUCCUUUUGUCUGGAAUCCUCUGACUGCUUAGAUUGUCCUGGCUUUUUCCUUGGUCUCAGUUCAAUGGCUCUGAUUCCUGAUGGUUCUGUCUCAGGCUUUCUCUCUGCCCUUUUACCCACUCUCUUAGCCUUUCCUGAUAAGUGCUGCCUCCCUUGAUGUAUUAUCCACAUAGUAUUAGCUCUGUGAGGGUUGAACAAGAUAAUUAAAAGAAUGCAAGCAGGAUGGAGUGACCUUGUUCAGCAGGCACAGCAUAGAACAGACAUUUUAGUGACUUGAGAAAGGUAACUAGUAAAAUGUUAGACAAGUUUCUGAAAUCUCUUAAUAUGGAAAAUUUUAAACCCUUUCUUUUGGGAAUUGAGUGCAUUGUUCCUACAGGCUGCUUUACAGACAGGUUAUCAGGGGACAGGGUAAAACUGUCUAAUAUAGGGAAGGGUUAAUUCCGCAGAGAUGGGAGUUUGUGACAUUUCACACCUUGCCCUGGAAUUCUGUCCAUUAGCAGAAAACUUAAUAUUCAAGAUCCCUAGCAAUCUUCAGCAUUUUCUGGGGAGGCAAUUCCUGGGAUAAACCGUAACAAAGUCUGCUUAUUGGGAAAGAAACAGAACAGUGUUCCUGCUAAUAUGCCUGGCACCAGAUCAUAGAAGUUAGAUGUGAGAAGUGCUUAUUACUCCUGUCUUGAUUGGAGGGGACUGGACUAGGUGACCUAUUGCGGUCCCUUCCAGUCCUACACUUCUAUGAUUCUAUAAUAUUUGCAUGUCUGGACAUCUUUCCUACUUCAUUCCUUUUGACCUUAUAACUCAUUAUUUUCAAGGCCUUUCUUUACAACACAUAUAUAUUUUCUUAACCAAACUUAAGCUAACUCUAAUUCUUUAUUUUUAUUAUCCAACAUGUGUGUAACCUGAACCUCUUGUUCUCAGGUAGAUUGUGGAGAGGGCAGGCCUGGGGAUUUGCUUUACAUACACCCCUAAAUCCUUUCAGCUGGACACUGAAACCUUCAUUUUUCUUCUUCACCUGUCACUCAAGCUUCACACAAGAUACCAACUAUGCUGAAGAAGAUCUUGAUCCUCCCAGCCCUGCUUGUUUUGCUUAUGCCUCCUCUCAUACAAGCACAAGAGGAUCUAAGUGGGGACAAAUCUGAGGAAUCUGGUGCCUUUGAAUCUGGGCAAGCAAGUGGGGAGCUUAGCGGAGAAACAAGUGGUGAACCUAAUGGACAAGUCAGUGGAGAGUUAGGCUGGGAGCCCAAGGGGCAACCUAUGGGUCAAUCCAGCCUCCCUGACGAAAGUAGCGGAAGUGGAUCUGACCUCUAGGUGGCCUUAAAGGCUAAAGAAUCCAGGAUGAAUUGUCAUUGAGAUGUUCCCAUCUCCUCCUGGCGUAAGAGGCCAGGGACUUAAUUGCUGGAGCAUAUGAAAUAGAUUGAGAGGGAUGAAACUUCCCCCCCUCCCCUUCACAUCAUCAGCUGCAUUGAAGGAAAAUCCAAGCCUCAAAAUGAGAAGCACAACAUCACCCUUGAGAAAUGUGUGUGUAGAGCAUUAGCAAGAGUGCUGCUGAGUUUGUUAAAUUUCUAAUACUUGUGAUUAUUCACUUAAUAAAGUAUUUAGGGUGCAUUAUAUUCUGAAAAGUGACUAUGUAAAAAUGGUCACUUUUCAUUCAGUAGCUCCGCUGAGUGCGUGUAUCAGACUCAGAGUGACUGACUUUAGUGACUAAAAUAUGUUUUUUAUGUGUGUUCAUCCUGAAGAGCCAGCAAAGUUCAGAGAGAAGAAACUGGAAUCUAUGCCUUCUUCUGCAUCAUCCACAGAAUUAUUUACUGAAGUCUGGUUACACCUGUGCAAAUCCAUUGAUGGGAAUGGAACUGCACAAGUUACUGAGGGCAAAAUUUGGCCUGGAGUGCUUUUAUUAUUGGUGGUGAUGUACGGGGAAAAAAAGAACCCUGCUUGAUUCUUAGAGUUCAGGCUGAGUUUGCAGAGUCAGCAGCCUGAAAAAACACCAUUUUUAUUUUUAUUAAUUUGAUCUGGAGUCCCAGAAAGAUUAUAUGCAUGGAGCCCCACAAUGCCAUUUAUAUAGUCACUUUUCAAAGUAUGACCAUCCUCCAAGCUGUGAUGAAUUGGAAGGAUCUAUUGAGAGGGGAUGUGCAAUAAUUAAACUGUGACCUCUGAUAAUUCUCCAAGCAGGUGAACAUUCUGCCAUUCUCUGAACUAAUAUCUAUCCCUUGCUGAUAUAGCAAUCACUGAAAAUAAAAAAUGAUGAAAUUAAAA